UGUUGCAAGUUUUCAGGACUUCAUCGGUUUUUCCGCACAACUCUCAAAAGCUCAGCCGAGGCGGAUCAGGCUCAACUGCGCAGAAUCGGAAACAGCGAGCCUAGGAAAGGGCCGAGAGUUGAGCUCUGCGGGACGCCCACGUGAAAGAGCGUGUUUACGACCUCACAAGUCUUCAGUUAUUCCAGUGUGCACUGAAAGCAUCUGCCUGGCAACAGACCUCGGCUCGGCUCGCAAUCGACCCAGACAGAGGCUGCUAACUGCAUGUACAGUGGAACAUGAGAUCAUGCGAUCACGCCUGUGCAUGCAUGGGGUCAUGUCUAUCCCAUGUCUCUAUCCAGAGUAACUGCCUCCAUGAGACGUGCACAGGUCUACUGGGUUUAGUCUGAAGUAAUAUUUAAUGUUCCUCUCUACGAAGUGAAUUACCCACAGGUCAGUGGGGCAUCUGAAAUCUCCACAUGGCCAGAUCCUGCUUGAAAAGUGUAAAGCAGCAGAGAUGCAGCCGACAUAUGGAGAUGACGGAACACUCCCGACUCCAAGACGGCAGAGGAAGAUGGAGAGAAGCUCAAAGAGAGCAGGUCUGGGCAGGCAGCGAUGGUGAUGCGUCAGCGGCGCUCCGGUAUGGGAGGGUGAUGUGUGUGUUAGUCUCCUGGGUGCCAUGUUUCUGUCACCCCUUGUCUGAGUGAGUCACGACUGGGUUCUGGUAAGGACCGUCACACAGCCGUUACCGCACUUCCUUCCAGCUUCCAUUAAGAACUCACUCACAUCUUGCCCCAAAAACCAACCCAGUUCACCUCAAAAUCCAAUAUCACAACGAUAGAAUCUCCCUGACUGCAUUUUAAAAAGGCAACGCUAUUUUACAGUAGUGUCAAAAACUCAAUAAAAGAACAUUUUUUUUCUGGGAGGCCUUGAAU
ensembl:lncRNA